rnacentral:rRNA from 1 species
UCAAUAUGGGGGAUCACUUAGUCCUUAAAGCGAUGAAAAACAUAGUAAUUUGUGGAAAUUGAUGUGAGUUAUGAAAUCUGUGAGCAUUGUGUUUUUGAAUGAAGAUAUCAGUAUAGAUAUUAUUCUGUG